CAAUAGCGUAUAUUAAAGUUGUUGCGGUUAAAAAGCUCGUAGUUGGAUUUCUGCUGAGAACGACCGGUCCGCCCUCUGGGUGUGUAUCUGGCUCUUUCUUGGCAUCUUCUUGGUGAACGUUGCUGCACUUGACUGUGUGGAGCGCUACCCAGGACUUUUACUUUGAGGAAAUUAGAGUGUUUCAAGCAGGCAUACGCCUUGAAUACAUUAGCAUGGAAUAAUAAGAUAGGACCUCGGUUCUAUUUUGUUGGUUUCUAGAGCUGAGGUAAUGAUUAAUAGGGAUAGUUGGGGGCAUUCGUAUUUAACUGUCAAAGGUGAAAUUCUUGGAUUUGUUAAAGACGGACUACUGCGAAAGCAUUUGCCAAGGAUGUUUNCAUUG
rnacentral:rRNA from 1 species